UUCUAUGAUGUUGUGGGAGAGAAUGAAAGCAGAAUCAGUCAGGUGUCCAUCAAGCAGCCAUGCUAAUCAUGCCAUUUCCUCAUGCAAGUCACUUACGUUCCAUUGCUCACGCAGACAAGAAGGAAUACUCCGGUUGGAACUUUAUUGAAGCUAUAUGUUAAAAACAUCCUAAUGAUUGAUUCUGUACUUAGUUUGAAAUGUUUCUUCGACCGGUAAUAUCACAUUUUGAAGUUUUUGUCCGAUAUAACGCUGACCAGAAUUAGCGUUUGGAUAUGUAAACCAGAGGCGCUAACAAAAGAAGAUAUUUGGACAUAAAUAACAGAUUUUUUCGAACAAAACAAACAUUUAUUGUGGACCUGGGAUUUCUUUUGUGCUUUCUGAUCUAAAUCAACAAAGCUGUGGCCCCAUAGUAUUGGAUGCCCUCAUCAAUAUCAAGAAUGAGAUGGACCCCACACUCAGACGUUCCUGCAGAGAGGUUAAGGCAUGAAGAGCAAUUUGCAGAGUGGCGAUAAAAGUAGGUGUCAUAAUUUGUGUAUUGGCCUAUCAAUAUAUUGUAUCCUUAUCUAGAAUGAUAGAGAAUCAUGAAAGACAAAGUGAGUCUUAGUGUGGAGUUGUCCUUUUCAGUGGUGUGACAUUUUUCUUGCUUCUGGUAUCUGUGGUUCAUGUGCCAUGAACAUCAACGGAGGCAACACACUGGCCUCCUUAAACAAAAUAGACAUCAAAACCAGCAAACGCUACACUCCAGCACAUAUAUGAUGUCAAAGAUCUUGUGCCGAUGCCAUGAAUAACUUCUAUGCCCAGUACAAGUCCAUCGAGCCCUUCCUGAACAAGAAAGACGAGUCUCGGGAGGGUAAAGAGCAGUACCACCAGACUGUGGAAGAGAGGCAAAAACGGGUACAUAUUUCAGUCCCUAACCAGUGGAGAAGACUAACCUGGUUGACCUGCAGUUCCUGUUCUUUCCUGGUGAUGCUGCUGGCAAUCGUUAUGGGGAAAGGGGGACCCAGCAUUGAGCUGUGCCCCUAGCGGCCCCACACCACACUGCUGGCGCUGCCGGUCCUUGCUAGCCUGAUGCUGCACACCCUGCUGCUCAUCCUGGGCCAGAUGUCCACUCUGCAGAUCACCACCACCCAGUACUGAUGCUGAUAGUACCGCAUGCCUUGGUCUGUCUGCUACAAGGGAGGCAACCGUCCAAUAACCAGUACAAGCGCCAAGACGUCCUCCUGUCAGACUCGCCCUCCUAGCCCAACCACUAGCCCCGCCCCAAUGCAGUCAUUGGCAUGAGCUAGCAUCAGCCUCCCUCCCAUUGGACAAUAAUAUUCCCCCGGCCAAAGAGUGCCUGGGAUCUGAGCCAAAUCCACGAUACCCGAGUGGACAAUGAGCAAACAUCCAAAGUAUGUUUUACACAUUGUAAUUUUCAACAGCAAUGUGAAGUACAAUACUGUGUCACUGGUAGAAGCCAGCAAUAUUAGACUAUAAAACGUCAAAUGUUAAAUAACCUCGUCAGGUUGCAUUCAUUUGUGAGAAAUGUUUAGUAAAGAGGGAAUUUGAUCCCAUAAAGAUUUGUUCAAUAGGGGACUCCGAUGGACUUGGUACAACAAAUGUGUAUGAAAAUAUACAAUGUAUCCUUGUA